UUCUGGCAGAAUCUAUGACAAAAGGUCGAAAGACAUAAGGUCGAAGGACAAAAGGUCGAAGGACAAAAGGUCGAAUGGACAAAAGGUCGAAUGGACAAAAGGUCGAAUGGACAAAAGGUCGAAUGGACAAAAGGUCGAAUGGACAAAAGGUCUAAAAGGGUAAAGAGCAUGCCAGUGAGUUCAAAACCCGCUAAGGGGUAUCAAAUCCUGUGAUAUCAGAGACAAGCAGAUGUCUUAAGCUGGUCAAGGACUUACAGUUGAUGAAUAUUUUGGUUCCAAAUUCCACCAACAAGCGGUGCUAGUGAGCUAACAAAUUUAGUUUUUCAUAUGUAUCAGGAAAAUUUGCAAAAAAAAUGCAACUAGCGCCACCUAGUUGCAGAAACUCGAACCAAACGAUAAUUAUUCUGAAAGCCCUUGAUCUACCAAACAAUUUUGCCGAAGACACCAUCUUUCUAAAGAAUCAGAAUGCUGAGAUAUGUUAAAUGUAAAAUUUGUACGCUAUUUAGCGCCGCCUAGCGGUGAAAUCACGAAUCACACGGCCCAUAUUCUGAAAGCCCUUGACCAGCAGAACAACUUUGCCGAAGAAACCAACUCUCUAAGUAAUCAGGUUCCUGAGAUAUAUGGGAUAGAAAUUUUGUCAGUGUUGCAUCUGCUUGUCUAAGAUAUCACAUAAAUCACAGACAAGUAGAUGUGACACUAGCGAAAUUUCAAUCUCAUAUAUCUCAUGAUCCUGAUUACUUAGAGAGUUGGUGUCUUCGGCAAAGUUAUUUGGCUGAUCAAGGACUAACCGAUUAUAAGACUUAAGAUUCAAAAUUCUACCGCUAGGCGGCGCUAGAGAGCAAACAAAUUUUAAAUUACUCAUAUCUCAGCAUCCUCAUUUUGUAGAAAGAUGGUGUCUUCGGCAAUAUUGUUUGGUAGAUCAAGGGCUUUCAGAAUAAUUACCGUUUGGUUCAAGUUUCUGCAGCUAGGCGGCGCUAGUUGCAUUUUUUUGCAAAUUUUCCUGAUAUUUAUGAAAAAUAUAAUUUGUUUGCUCACUAGCACCGCCUAGCGGUGGAAUUUUGAAUCUUUAAUCUUAUUAUCGGUUAGUCCUUGACCAUUCAAACAACUUUGCUGAAGACACCAACUUUCUAAGUAAUCAGGAUCAUGAGAUAUAUGAGAUUGAAAUUUUGUUAGUGUCACAUCUAUUUGUCUGUGAUUUAUGUGAUAUCUUAGACAAGCAAGUACUUUCAUACUCCUGUGGUACACACAGGAAGCACGACUGAGUGCGCUCUCAACACGAAUUUUUGUGUGCACAUUUUCUGCGCGCACAAAAUGUGCACGCAGAAACUGAAAAAAAAAAACAUGUUUGUUCUAACAUUUGUUUGAGCACUCAUUUUGAGGGUGCCACGAUG